AGAGCGAACGCUGGCGGCAGGCUUAACACAUGCAAGUCGAGCGCCCCGCAAGGGGAGCGGCAGACGGGAGAGUAACACGUGGGAACGUACCUUUCGGUUCGGAACAACCCAGGGAAACUUGGGCUAAUACCGGAUACGUCCGUAAGGAGAAAGAUUUAUCGCCGAAAGAUCGGCCCGCGUCUGAUUAGCUAGUUGGUGAGGUAACGGCUCACCGAGGCGACGAUCAGUAGCUGGUCUGAGAGGAUGAUCAGCCUCACUGGGACUGAGACACGGCCCAGACUCCUACGGGAGGCAGCAGUGGGGAAUAUUGGACAAUGGGCGCAAGCCUGAUCCAGCCAUGCCGCGUGGGUGAUGAAGGCCCUAGGGUUGUAAAGCCCUUUCGGCGGGGAAGAUAAUGACGGUACCCGCAGAAGAAGCCCCGGCUAACUUCGUGCCAGCAGCCGC
rnacentral:rRNA from 1 species